rnacentral:rRNA from 1 species
GGGCUCUUGCAAGAAAGAAUUAUUUAUAAUAAAAAAGCAUCUAUAACUUUGAUUCAAGUUGUUUAUGUACCUACAAACGAUUUGACCGACCCUGGCCCUCCCAUGACAUUUGCAUAUUUGGAUAACUUCCGUUUAACAGUGAGCUUCUACGAGAUGGGUUGCGCCUCUUUGGUGAAUUGA